GCGGCGUUGUGUGCAUAGCUAUAGUCACCUGUAAUAAAGAGAUUGUUACAUAUAUUAAAAAUGGCGACUGCCGAAUGGUUUAUCCUUAUGACGGUUGCUGUAAUAACCGCAUCGGGUGAACCAGACCCGUGUUUUAUAUCAUCUAUAUGGACUGAUGGAGAUGGUAGAAGUAUUAAUUGUCAUGUAAAUUAUGAUAAAUGUGACAGAUAUAUGGAACCAGGAUGGUAUCGUGUUCAAUCAGAAUCUGGUCAAGAUCUCACCAUGCCCACUUCACCUGUACCAGUAAAUAGUUGUGGUACCAAGUAUCCUAUAUGGUUAAAUGGAGAUCAUCCAAGUUCAUCAGAUGAUAUUGUUGACCAUGUUGCAUGUGUAACCACUAACUCCUCGACCUGUCGCUACUCCUACCAAAUAAGGAUCAAGAAAUGUCAAGAUUUUAUGGCUUAUUACCUGGUAAAAGCUGAA